AUUGAACGCUGGCGGCAUGCCUUACACAUGCAAGUCGAACGGUAACAGGUCUUCGGAUGCUGACGAGUGGCGAACGGGUGAGUAAUACAUCGGAACGUGCCUAGUAGGGGGGGAUAACUACUCGAAAGAGUGGCUAAUACCGCAUGAGAUCUACGGAUGAAAGAAGGGGAUCGUAAGACCUUGUGCUACUAGAGCGGCCGAUGGCAGAUUAGGUAGUUGGUGGGAUAAAAGCUUACCAAGCCGACGAUCUGUAGCUGGUCUGAGAGGACGAUCAGCCACACUGGGACUGAGACACGGCCCAGACUCCUACGGGAGGCAGCAGUGGGGAAUUUUGGACAAUGGGCGCAAGCCUGAUCCAGCAAUGCCGCGUGCAGGAUGAAGGCCUUCGGGUUGUAAACUGCUUUUGUACGGAACGAAAAGCCCUGGGUUAAUACCCUGGGGUCAUGACGGUACCGUAAGAAUAAGCACCGGCUAACUACGUGCCAGCCGCCGCCGUAAUAC
rnacentral:rRNA from 1 species